UACGGAGGGGUGCAAGCGUUAAUCCGGAAUUACUGGGCGUAAAGCGCACGCAGGCGGUUCGCCAAGUUUGGAGUGACAGUUGUCGGCUCAACCGACAAAGGACUUCAAAAACUGGUAGAACUUGAAGGUCGAGAGAGGGACGAUGAAGACUCCCAGGUGUAGUAGUGAAAUGCGUAGAUAUCUGGAAGAACACCAAUGGCGAAGGCAAUGUUCUGGCUCGUUUCUGACGCUCAGGUGCGAAAGCCAGGGGAGCGAACGGG
rnacentral:rRNA from 1 species